ACAAAGCUUUGCCAGACAGCGAGGUUGCUGUUGAUGGUGCAACUGUCCCAACAGAAGAUAUUACCGUCCCACAACGCAGCACUUCACCAUAUUGGAUCACAAUGACAACUAGUCCCUUGUGUUCCCCACUGUCUCUCCUUGGUUCACAAUCCCAGAGUAUUUAACUGUCAGUGAACCUGAUGACAUUGAGAAAGCCCAAUCUCAAGGUUCUACGUUCUCCACGAUCAUG